rnacentral:tRNA from 1 species
UUACCUUUGGUGUAUUGUCACGUUGUAUUUUGAUUACAAAGGUUUAUUUGGUAAU